rnacentral:tRNA from 1 species
UAGGCGGAAGCUAAAUUAGCAUCUAACUGUUACUUAGACCCAUGCCGAAUAGGCCCGCCUAA